rnacentral:rRNA from 1 species
GUCUAUGGCCAUACCACACUGAACGUGCCCAAUCUCGUCUGAUCUCGGAAGCUAAGCAGGGUUAGGCCUGGUUAGUACUUGGAUGGGAGAAACCUUAGCAUUCUUGCACA